GACGAACGCUGGCGGCGUGUCUAAUACAUGCAAGUAGAACGCAGUCGCGAACGGGUGAGUAACGCGUAGGUAACUGUCUCAUAGCGGGGGAUAACUAUUGGAAACGAUAGCUAAUACCGCAUAAUGUGAGAUGGACCUGCGUUGUAUUAGCUAGUUGGUGAGGUAAAGGCUCAUCAAGGCGACGAUACAUAGCCGACCUGCGCGGGUGAUCGGCCAGACUGUGACUGGGACGCGUCCCAGACUCCUACGGGAGGCAGCAGUAGGGAAUCUUCGGCAAUGGACGGAAGUCUGACCGAGCAACGCCGCGUGAGGGAGGAAGGUUUUCGGAUCGUAAAGCUCUGUUGUUAGGGUAGCGGUAACUACCCAGAAAGGGACGGCUAACUACGUGCCAGCAGCCGCGGUAAUAC
rnacentral:rRNA from 1 species